rnacentral:lncRNA from 1 species
UCUGGCGUUGUUGACCUGGAUGUACUGAAGAAAAUUGCUAAGAUUACGAAUUGAUUGCUAAUCGAAGCGACCGACGCCACAGCCUGCUCUGCUGGUCCAUGCGCACGGUACGCGCGCAAACAUGGCGAGCUCUCGCCGGCUCGAUUGAGAUAGGGUGCACAUCGACGAGACGUACGAGGUGCGAGCGGGAGGCGCCCCACGGAGCGGAACGGAGGCCACACCCGACGGCCCGCCGCCGCGGCGCGGCGCGCCGACGAGUUAGCCGAAAGCUACCUAGGCAGGGGCAAGGGCGCCGGCGCACUCGGUUU